UGAUUUGUAAUGCAUUCUAGCAAUUAUGUUUUAUCAUUUGGACAAAUGGUUGUUGGCUAGGGAAAAUAUGAUUUGAUUAUUUCAAUCAAAUCAUAUUUUCCCUAGCCAACAAAC